AUUGAACGCUGGCGGCAGGCUUAACACAUGCAAGUCGAGCGGAGAUGAGGUGCUUGCACCUUAUCUUAGCGGCGGACGGGUGAGUAAUGCUUAGGAAUCUGCCUAUUAGUUGGGGACAACAUUCCGAAAGGAAUGCUAAUACCGCAUACGCCCUACGGGGGGCAAGCAGGGGAUCUUCGGACCUUGCCCUAAUAGAUGAGCCAAGGUCGGAUUAGCUAGUUGGUGGGGUAAGGGCCGACCAAGGCGACGAUCUGUAGCGGGUCUGAGAGGAUGAGCCGCCAGACUGGGACUGAGACACGGCCCAGACUCCUACGGGAGGCAGCAGUGGGGAAUAUUGGACAAUGGGCGGAAGCCUGAUCCAGCCAUGCCGCGUGUGUGAAGAAGGCCUUUUGGUUGUAAAGCACUUUAAGCGAGGAGGAGGCUACUUAGAUUAAUACUCUAGGAUAGUGGACGUUACUCGCAGAAUAAGCACCGGCUAACUCUGUGCCAGCAGCCGCCGUAAAAC
rnacentral:rRNA from 1 species